UCCGAAUUGGUGUAGUGGCUAACAUUUGACGCUCUCAGCUAGAUCAUAUCUGUGAUCUUGUGGCAGCCCCGUCAAGCCCGGGGUUCGAUUCCCCGAUUCGGAG